UGCCAUAAGGUUAGUAUUACCUUAUGGCAUAUAUGUAGCAUGUAGCA
rnacentral:ncRNA from 1 species